rnacentral:rRNA from 1 species
AUUGAACGCUGGCGGCAUGCUUUACACAUGCAAGUCGAACGGCAGCGCGGGCUUCGGCCUGGCGGCGAGUGGCGAACGGGUGAGUAAUGCAUCGGAACGUGCCCGGUAGUGGGGGAUAGCCCAGCGAAAGCCGGAUUAAUACCGCAUACGACCUGAGGGUGAAAGCGGGGGACCGAAAGGCCUCGCGCUAUUGGAGCGGCCGAUGUCGGAUUAGCUAGUUGGUGGGGUAAAGGCUUACCAAGGCGACGAUCCGUAGCUGGUCUGAGAGGACGACCAGCCACACUGGGACUGAGACACGGCCCAGACUCCUACGGGAGGCAGCAGUGGGGAAUUUUGGACAAUGGGGGCAACCCUGAUCCAGCCAUGCCGCGUGCGGGAAGAAGGCCUUCGGGUUGUAAACCGCUUUUGUUCGGGAAGAAAUCCUCUGGGCUAAUACCCCGGGGGGAUGACGGUACCGGAAGAAUAAGCACCGGCUAACUACGUG